rfam:Acyrthosiphon pisum strain LSR1 Contig29209, whole genome shotgun sequence.
CCUUCGAUAGCUCAGUUGGUAGAGCGGUGGACUGUAGUGGCAUAAUAAUCACAGAUAUCCAUAGGUCGCUGGUUCAAAUCCGGCUCGAAGGA